AAUGUCUAAGGAUCAUAUAAACCUGGAUCAGAUACUAGUAGACGAAGUGGGGUGGGGAAAGUUUCAGGUCAAAGUGUUGGUGCUGUGUACUCUUGUGUCAACGAUGGCGGGACUGCAGACGUAUUCCUACUUGUUCACACUAACGAAGUCCAGGACAAGAUGCAUGAUUCCCGAAUGUGAAGGUACCUUUACCCCAGACGUGUUCUCUCCUCCUUGGAUCCUGGAAGCGGUGCCAAGAUCAGGCGACUCCUUCGAUAAUUGCCAUCGGUUUCCAACAAUAAACAUGUCACAAACUUCUGGAUCAUGCGCGGAAACCUUGUUUGACAAGAACGCAUCGGUACAAUGCCAGGAAUAUGUUUAUGAACAGAAAAACUCUGCUUAUUAUGAGUUUAAUCUAGCCUGCGACGAUUUUCGGCCAUAUCUCGUCGAGUCGGCCAGAAUUUUGGGCAUGAUGAUCUACUUGCCUAUAAAAGGGUUUGUGGCUGACCGUUGGGGCCGGCGGCUGGCACUUGCCCUGACUGCCUUCAACCUGGCCUGGACUGGGACAUUGACAUGUGUUGCGGGUUCCUACACCAGCUACACCACGUUAUCUUUUGUAGAAUAUCUUCUAGGAUCGUGUUCUUUUUCGUGUGCAUGUAUUUUAGCUCUGGAAUACGUGCGACCUAAAUAUCGAGUAGUAACUGGUGUCACCAUAAGCACUUGUGGCGCUGUGGGAGAAAUAAUUUUGGGUCUGAUAGCCUGGACAGAGCCUUAUUGGAGACAUCUGAUUCUUAUGAUCUACGUACCUCAACUAUUGUUUAUAAUUUACUUUUGGAUUGCGCCGGAAUCUAUUCGCUGGUUGAUGAGCAAAGGUCGCUAUGAUGAAUCUUUGGCCAUUAAAAAAAAACUGCUGAAAUGAACGGGAGUUGUAUAUCGGAAAAUACUUUAAAAGCAUUCUUGGAGACAAAAAAAGAUAUUCUUGAAAAGAAAGAAAAACAUUCUUCAGAACCUUGGCUGGUGUGUUUAAUCUUCAAACAUAAGCCGAUACUACUGCGUUGUUUGGUAACACCAAUAUGGUGGAUUACGGCUACUUUAAUGUACUUUGGCUUAACGAUUUCUGCUGUGGGGAUAUCCGGCAACAAAUAUCUGAACUUUAUAGCUUCAGUUGCCAUCCAGAUUCCAGGUUACUGGCUGUCUGUGUUGCUAAUGGACAGAAUUGGCAGAAAAGCUUUAGUAAUGACAGGAUUUUGGAUAAGUGGAGCUUGUCAGAUUGCGUUCAUAUUUACAUCCGGUAGACAUUACUGGCUGUCCUUAUCAGUUUACCUGUACGGC